GACGAACGCUGGCGGCGCGCUUAACACAUGCAAGUCGAGCGAUGAAAUUUCGACAGAUCCCUUCGGGGUGAAGAUGAAAUGGAUUAGCGGCGGACGGGUGAGUAACACGUGAGUAACCUGCCUUUGACAUUGGGAUAGCCUCGGGAAACUGGGAUUAAUACCAAAUGACACUAACUGAUCACAUGAUCAAUUAGUCAAAGAAAUUCGGUCAAAGAUGGACUCGCGGCUGAUUAGCUAGUUGGUGAGGUAACGGCCCACCAAGGCGACGAUCAGUAGCCGGCAUGAGAGGGUGAUCGGCCACAUUGGAACUGAGACACGGUCCAAACUCCUACGGGAGGCAGCAGUGGGGAAUAUUGCACAAUGGGGGAAACCCUGAUGCAGCGACGCCGCGUGAGCGAAGAAGGCCUUCGGGUCGUAAAGCUCUUUUAUGAGGGAAGAUAAUGACGGUACCUAAAGAAAAAGCCCCGGCUAACUACGUG
rnacentral:rRNA from 1 species